rnacentral:rRNA from 1 species
GACGAACGCUGGCGGCGUGCUUAACACAUGCAAGUCGAACGAAGAGCGAUGGAAGCUUGCUUCUCUCAAUCUUAGUGGCGAACGGGUGAGUAACGCGUAAUCAACCUUCCCUUCAGAGGGGGACAACAGUUGGAAACGACUGCUAAUACCGCAUACGAUCUGACCUCGGCAUCGAGGAUAGAUGAAAGGUGGCCUCUACAUGUAAGCUAUCACUGAAGGAGGGGAUUGCGUCUGAUUAGCUAGUUGGAGGGGUAACGGCCCACCAAGGCGAUGAUCAGUAGCCGGUCUGAGAGGAUGAACGGCCACAUUGGGACUGAGACACGGCCCAGACUCCUACGGGAGGCAGCAGUGGGGAAUCUUCCGCAAUGGACGAAAGUCUGACGGAGCAACGCCGCGUGAGUGAUGACGGCCUUCGGGUUGUAAAGCUCUGUUAAUCGGGACGAAAGGCCUUUUUGCGAAUAGUGAGGAGGAUUGACGGUACCGGAAUAGAAAGCCACGGCUAACUACGUG